GGGUCCCCUAGGUCGCGGGGCAGCCGGGGCGGAAGGGGCUUGUUCAUUAUUUUGAGAGUUUGUUGUGAACGUCAUAACCUUUCGUCCUUAAAUAUUGCCGAUACUUGACCUACGCAAGAGACAAUGUCAUGUGAUUCAGCCUAAUAUCUCAGAGGAUGCAGCAUUCAAGGUUCUAUCUUGGAAGCAGAGACUGUGCCCUCACCAGAUGCUGAACCUGCUGAGCACCCUGAUCUUCCACUUCACCUUCAUCAGAACUGUCUUUGAGGAAUUGUCACACUGUCUUCUGCAAUGGAUGAACUAAUUUACACUCUCAACAACAGUGUAUAAGCAUUCCUUUUGCUCUGCAACCUCACCAGACAUCUGUUUUCGUAUCAGGAUGAUGCUGGCCUCAUACAAUGAGUUAGGUAGGAAUCCUUCUUUUUCUAUUGUUUGGAAUAUUUUCAGAAGCAAUGAUACCAGCUCCUCUUUGUACCUCUGGUAGAAUUCAGCUGUGAAUCCGUCUGGUCCUGGACUUAUCUUGGUUGGUAGGCUAUUAAUUACUGCCUCAAUUUCAGAACUUGUUAUUGGUUUAUUCAGGGAUUCGACUUCUUCCUGGUUUAGUAUUGGGAGGGUGUAUGUGUCCAGGAAUUUAUCCAUUUCUUCUAGAUUUUUCAGUUUAUCUGCAUAAAGGUGUUUAUAGUAUUCUCUGAUGGUAGUUUGUAUUUCUGUGGGAUCAGUGGUGAUGUCCCCUUUAUCAUUUUUUAUUGUGUCUAUUUGAUUAUUCUCUCUUUUCUUCUUUAUUAGUUUGGCUAGCAGUCUAUUUUGUUGAUCUUUAGAAAAAAACA
rnacentral:lncRNA from 1 species